rnacentral:rRNA from 1 species
AGCGAACGCUGGCGGCAGGCCUAACACAUGCAAGUCGAACGAACUCUUCGGAGUUAGUGGCGGACGGGUGAGUAACACGUGGGAACGUGCCUUUUGGUUCGGAAUAACUCAGGGAAACUUGUGCUAAUACCGAAUGUGCCCUUCGGGGGAAAGAUUUAUCGCCAUUAGAGCGGGCCGCGUCUGAUUAGCUAGUUGGUGAGGUAACGGCUCGCCAAGGCGACGAGCAGUAGCUGGUCUGAGAGGAGGACCAGCCACACUGGGACUGAGACACGGCCCAGACUGGUAGGAGAAGCAGCAGUGGGGAAUCAUGCGGAAUGGGCGAGAGGCUGACGCGGCCAUGGCGCGUGAAUGGUGUAGGUCUUAGGAUUGUAAAAUUCUUUCGACGGAGACGAUAGUGACGGUACCUGGAGAAGAAGCCCCGGCUAACUACGUG